rnacentral:tRNA from 1 species
CGGGGCGUGGCGCAGCUCGGAUUAGCGCGCUUGCUUGGGGUGCAAGAGGUCGCUGGUUCAAAUCCAGUCGCCCCGACCA